UUUCCGCCUUCUAUAACCCCUUUGUGAACAUACCUAUAACUGGUUGCUUCGGCGGGUAGGGUCUCCGCGACCCUCCCGGCCUCCCGCCUCCGGGCGGGUCGGCGCCCGCCGGAGGAUAACCAAACUCUGAUUUAACGACGUUUCUUCUGAGUGGUACAAGCAAAUAAUCAAAACUUUUAACAACGGAUCUCUUGGUUCUGGCAUCGAUGAAGAACGCAGCGAAAUGCGAUAAGUAAUGUGAAUUGCAGAAUUCAGUGAAUCAUCGAAUCUUUGAACGCACAUUGCGCCCGCCAGCAUUCUGGCGGGCAUGCCUGUUCGAGCGUCAUUUCAACCCUCAAGCUCUGCUUGGUGUUGGGGCCCUACAGCUGAUGUAGGCCCUCAAAGGUAGUGGCGGACCCUCCCGGAGCCUCCUUUGCGUAGUAACUUUACGUCUCGCACUGGGAUCCGGAGGGACUCUUGCCGUAAAAACCCCCAAUUUUCCAAAGGUUGACCUCGGAUCAGGUAGGAAUACCCGCUGAACUUAAGCAUAUCAAUAAGGCGGAGGAA
rnacentral:rRNA from 1 species